CGUGUAGGCGGGUCUUUAAGUCAGGGGUGAAAUGCCAAGGCUCAACCUUGGAACUGCCUUUGAUACUGGAGAUCUUGAGUCCGGGAGAGGUGAGUGGAACUGCGAGCGUAGAGGUGAAAUUCGUAGAUAUUCGCAAGAACACCAGUGGCGAAGGCGGCUCACUGGCCCGGAACUGACGCUGAGACGCGAAAGCGUGGGGAGCAAACAGGAUUAGAUACCCUGGUAGUCCACGCUGUAAACGAUGGAUGCUAGCCGUUGGGGAGCUUGCUCUUCAGUGGCGCAGCUAACGCUUUAAGCAUCCCGCCUGGGGAGUACGGUCGCAAGAUUAAA
rnacentral:rRNA from 1 species